CCUCACAUCCCGGAGUCCGUGCUUGUGUCUGUCCCAAGCUGCUGAGGCUGCAGUGAGCCUGUGCUCAUCCCAGAGGGACAACCUCAUCAGAACACACCCUUCUCCCUUUGCUCCUUCAUGAAAUGAGACUCUCGAUGAAGCCAGUGACAUCACAUGGAGACCAUAUGUGUGGGAAUCGAGGGCAAAGUCUAGUCUUCUGGAAUGUGUAAACACCCUGGGUUUUUAAGGAUGAGCUGCCAGACCCCGUGUGUCGGAGGCUCCUGCUUUCGGGCAAUGGCUGGCGUCCUGGCCGGGGAACCCAGGCUGACCCUUUUGGCAAGAUCCGACCAUCACUACGCUGCUGGGGACCCCGGCCUCGGUGCCACUGGCCACACUCGAAGUUCAGAUCCAUCUGUUAUGAACCGAGCCAUGGCCCCCCAAAAUGUGUCAAAAUCCUAAUUUCUAGAACCCCAGAAUGUGACAUUUGGAGUGACAUCGGGACACAGACACGCACAGAAGGACGACCACGGGAGGACACGGGGAGAAGUGGCCAUCGGCAAGCCAAGGAGACAGGCCUGGGGAGGAACCAGCCCUGUCCACACCUUGAUCCCAGCUUUCAGGACUGGGAGAGAAUAAACAUCUGUGGUUUAA